rnacentral:rRNA from 1 species
AGCUCCAAUAGCGUAUAUUAAAGUUGUUGCAGUUAAAAAGCUCGUAGUUGAAUUUUGGCCUUGGCCGGGAGGUCUUUGCUCUGCAUAGCACUUCUCUGGCUGAGGCUUUCCUUCUGGCUAACUAGUCUUCGAUUUAUUUCGUGGGUUAGGGAACCAGGACUUUUACUUUGAAAAAAUUAGAGUGUUUAAAGCAGGCUUACGCUUGAAUACAUUAGCAUGGAAUAAUAAAAUAGGACUUUGGUUUUAUUUUGUUGGUUUUCGAAACCAAAGUAAUGAUUAAUAGGGAUAGUUGGGGGCAUUACUAUUGAGCCGUCAGAGGUGAAAUUCUUGGAUUGGCUCAAGAGUAACUACUGCGAAAGCAUUUGCCAAGGAUGUUUUCAUUAAUCAAGAACGAAAGUAC